rfam:Stegodyphus mimosarum contig36506, whole genome shotgun sequence.
GUCUUUGUGGUGUAGUGGUCAGCAUGCUCGACGCGUAAUCGAGAGGUUCGUGGUUCGAUUCUCGGCGAAGGAG